rnacentral:rRNA from 1 species
UGCGUAGGCGGCUUAUUAAGUCGGAUGUGAAAUCCCCGAGCUUAACUUGGGAAUUGCAUUCGAUACUGGUGAGCUAGAGUAUGGGAGAGGAUGGUAGAAUUCCAGGUGUAGCGGUGAAAUGCGUAGAGAUCUGGUGGAAUACCGUUGGCGAAGGCAGUCAUCUGGCCUAAUACUGACGCUGAGGUACGAAAGCAUGGGGAGCAAACAGGAUUAGAUACCCGCGUA